CCAUCUAUGCUUUGGGUUGCUAGGGUGCUCUAAAUGGUUGCUAGGGCGUGGCUAUGAAGUCUUGAAGGUGAUUCCUGAUUGGUCGUUUGUUGCCCCGAGUCAAACGAGCCCACCCUCAUGUUUCUAUGACACUCCUAUCCAAAGAUAUUAAUUUGAUCUUUUUCAAUGGAAGUCUAUGGAGCUUGUUACUAAGGGGCCCUAAAUGGUUGCUAGGGCGUGGCUUGACUGCUUCACAAUGAUCCUGAUAGACUGAUUGGUUGGCUGAGUAAAAUGAGCCCACCCCCAUGUCUCUAUGACAUUGUGAUCCACAGUUAUGUUCAAUGCAAAACUCCUAGGUAAAGUACCAUAGUAGGAAAAACGCGCUGUUUCAUGGGCGAUCCCUCACCAUAGUAUGUCUAUGGGGCAACUUUGGGGGGCUCUUGCGCCCCAGG
ensembl:lncRNA